rnacentral:lncRNA from 10 species
ACAACCACGAUGUUGGAGAGGGAAGCAGCUACCUCAAAAGAAGGGAAUGAACGGUUGAGACCAGACAAUAUAAUAAGUGGCCACUCUCUGGUAGAGAAAGACUUUGGAGGAAACCCAUCAGGCAUCCAGAACCCACAGCUCUGCCAUCAGAACUCCAUCCUGGGAACAGAAGCCGUCUAUCUGCAUCUGUAAACAUGGCCUCAUGUAGUGACGUGCAGGGAAAUGAGUGUGCCCUUGCAAUGGUUCUCAGUCCUUUCUUUAUCUCAACAUCAUGGCAUUUUAUGGCUUCCCUCAUGAGACAACUCAAUUAUUCUCACAAUUUAUCUAGAUUUCUGGAAAAAUAUGUUGGAAUGUGGCCUUCCUACCCCAUUCCCUCUGACAACAGGUUUAUUGAGGAAUAUAUUUUACUUUCAUAUUUUUAUUUCAGAGGAAAAAUUUCUCCCCAGACAUUUAUUUUCCCCAUGGUUCUCUAAGAGGGAGACAUGAAUGAGGAAACCAUAAAAUAAAAUCAGAUAAGGUGGGACACCAAGA